AUUGAACGCUGGCGGCAUGCCUUACACAUGCAAGUCGAACGGCAGCACGGGGGCAACCCUGGUGGCGAGUGGCGAACGGGUGAGUAAUGCAUCGGAACGUGCCCAGUAGUGGGGGAUAACCAGUCGAAAGACUGGCUAAUACCGCAUACGACCCACGGGUGAAAGCGGGGGACCGUAAGGCCUCGCGCUAUUGGAGCGGCCGAUGUUUGAUUAGCUAGUUGGCGGGGUAAGAGCCCACCAAGGCGACGAUCAGUAGCUGGUCUGAGAGGACGACCAGCCACACUGGGACUGAGACACGGCCCAGACUCCUACGGGAGGCAGCAGUGGGGAAUUUUGGACAAUGGGCGCAAGCCUGAUCCAGCCAUGCCGCGUGCGGGAAGAAGGCCUUCGGGUUGUAAACCGCUUUUGGCAGGAACGAAACGGCGCAGGCCAAUACCUUGCGCUAAUGACGGUACCUGCAGAAUAAGCACCGGCUAACUACGUGCCAGCAGCCGCAGUAACAC
rnacentral:rRNA from 1 species